UAAGCCAUGCGAGUCCAGGGGCUCGCUCUGCGAGCACCGGCGGACGGCUCAGUAACACGUGGACAACCUGCCCUCGGGAGGGGGAUAACCCCGGGAAACUGGGGCUAAACCCCCAUAGGUGAUGGAUACUGGAAUGUUCCAUCACCGAAAGUCCGCAAGGAGCCCGAGGAUGGGUCUGCGGCGGAUUAGGUAGUUGGUGGGGUAACGGCCCACCAAGCCUAAGAUCCGUACGGGCCAUGGGAGUGGGAGCCCGGAGAUGGACCCUGAGACAAGGGUCCAGGCCCUACGGGGCGUAGCAGGCGCGAAACCUCCGCAAUGCGGGAAACCGCGACGGGGUCAGCCGGAGUGCCGAUGCUUGCAUCGGCUGUCGGGGAGCCUAAAAAGCUCCCCAUAGCAAGGGCCGGGCAAGGCCGGUGGCAGCCGCCGCGGUAAUACCGGCGGCCCGAGUGGCGGCCACUAUUAUUGGGCUUAAAGCGUCCGUAGCCGGGUUGGUUAGUCUCCCGGGAAAUCUGGCCGCUUAACGGUCAGAAUUCCGGGAGAUACUGCCAGCCUAGGGACCGGGAGAGGCCGAGGGUAUUCCCGGAGUAGGGGUGAAAUCCUAUAAUCCCGGGAGGACCACCUGUGGCGAAGGCGCUCGGCUGGAACGGGUCCGACGGUGAGGGACGAAGGCCAGGGGAGCAAACCGGAUUAGAUACCCGGGUAGUCCUGGCUGUAAACGAUGCGGACUUUGUGUCGGACAAGCUAUGAGCUUGUCCGGUGCCGGAGGGAAACCGUUAAGUCCGCCGCCUGGGGAGUACGGCCGCAAGGCUGAAACUUAAAGGAAUUGGCGGGGGAGCACCACAACGGGUGGAGCCUGCGGUUUAAUUAGAUUCAACGCUGGGAAGCUUACCGGGGGAGACAGCGGGACGAAGGUC
rnacentral:rRNA from 1 species